GGCCGCGCUCACCGUCGCCGCUGCCUCCGCUCCGGCCGCGGCCCGCGGAGAGGCCCAACUCGACCUCGGUGGGGCGUGGGAGGCCCCGACUGGAGCCCGUGCGGCAUCCCCAGCACCCCCGCGAGCCCGUGGGUUGGGAGCGGCCCCCUCGGCGCCCCCUCCGAGCCGCCGGCCUUGCCCCUCUCACGACGGCCCUGCCAGGUGGGACGGCCGAGCAGGUUUGAAUGUGACCUGUAGAAGACGGCGAAGAUGUCGCUUCACAACACCAGAGCCUCGGUGCUCCUGGCCUGGGUGAACAGCCUGAAGCUGGGGGAUGCGGUCACUUCGUUGUCUGAGCUCCAGGAUUGCAGCCUUUUCCUCAAGAUCAUCGGCAAAAU